AGAGUUUGAUCAUGGCGUCAGGAUGAACGCCCGGCGGCGUGCCUAAUACAUGCAAGUCGAGCGGAGAAUUUAGCAAUAGAUUCUUAGCGGCGAACGGGUGAGUAACGCGUUGGUGACCUGCCUCGAAGUUUGGGAUAACAGUUCGAAAGGACUGCUAAUACCGGAUGUGAUCGCGGAGAUUAGAGGCUCUGUGAUUAAAGGAGAAAUUCGCUUCGAGAGGGGCCUGCGUCCCAUCAGCUAGUUGGUAAGGUAAAGGCUUACCAAGGCGAUGACGGGUAGGGGACCUGAGAGGGUGGCCCCCCACAAUGGAACUGAAACACGGUCCAUACACCUACGGGUGGCAGCAGUAGGGAAUAUUGCAUAAUGGGCGAAAGCCUGAUGCAGCAACGCCGCGUGUGCGAUGAAGGCCUUCGGGUCGUAAAGCACUUUUGGAGGGGAUGAGGAAGGACAGUACCCUUCGAAUAAGCUUCGGCUAACUACGUG
rnacentral:rRNA from 1 species